GCAGCACGCCGCGUGAGGGAUGACGGCCUUCGGGUUGUAAACCUCUUUUAGCAGGGAAGAAGCGAAAGUGACGGUACCUGCAGAAAAAGCGCCGGCUAACUACGUGCCAGCAGCCGCGGUAAUACGUAGGGCGCAAGCGUUAUCCGGAAUUAUUGGGCGUAAAGAGCUCGUAGGCGGUUUGUCGCGUCUGCUGUGAAAUCCCGAGGCUCAACCUCGGGCCUGCAGUGGGUACGGGCAGACUAGAGUGCGGUAGGGGAGAUUGGAAUUCCUGGUGUAGCGGUGGAAUGCGCAGAUAUCAGGAGGAACACCGAUGGCGAAGGCAGAUCUCUGGGCCGUAACUGACGCUGAGGAGCGAAAGGGUGGGGAGCAAACAGGCUUAGAUACCCUGGUAGUCCACCCCGUAAACGUUGGGAACUAGUUGUGGGGACCAUUCCACGGUUUCCGUGACGCAGCUAACGCAUUAAGUUCCCCGCCUGGGGAGUACGGCCGCAAGGCUAAAACUCAAAGGAAUUGACGGGGACCCGCACAAGCGGCGGAGCAUGCGGAUUAAUUCGAUGCAACGCGAAGAACCUUACCAAGGCUUGACAUAUACGAGAACGG
rnacentral:rRNA from 1 species